rnacentral:pre_miRNA from 1 species
ACUUAGCCUUGGAAUGACACGAUCACUCCCGUUGAGCCGAAACACACAGUGCCAUCGGGAAUAUCGUGUCGCUCCAAAGCUCUCU